AUUGAACGCUGGCGGCAGGCUUAACACAUGCAAGUCGAGCGGUAACAGAGAGAAGCUUGCUUCUCUGCUGACGAGUGGCGGACGGGUGAGUAAUGCCUAGGAAUCUGCCUAGUAGUGGGGGAUAACUUGCCGAAAGGUAAGCUAAUACCGCAUACGUCCUACGGGAGAAAGGAGGGGACCUUCGGGCCUUUCGCUAUUAGAUGAGCCUAGGUCGGAUUAGUUAGUUGGUGAGGUAAUGGCUCACCAAGACCGCGAUCCGUAACUGGUCUGAGAGGAGGAUCAGUCACACUGGAACUGAGACACGGUCCAGACUCCUACGGGAGGCAGCAGUGGGGAAUAUUGGGCAAUGGGGGGAACCCUGAUCCAGCCAUGCCGCGUGUGUGAAGAAGGUCUUAGGAUUGUAAAGCACUUUAAGUUGGGAGGAAGAGCAGUUAACUAAUAUUUGACUGUUUUGACGUUACCGACAGAAUAAGCACCGGCUAACUUCGUGCCAGCCGCCGCAGUAA
rnacentral:rRNA from 1 species